GCAGUGUUGAGCAGUGGGAGUGAGGUAUUUCAGUGCUGCAGUUGGAAUCCGCCAGUCCAAUGAUUUUAAUCUUUCUUGAACGGCAGCGUCACGCAAGAGCUCCACCUGCUUGGCCAACAGAGAGUCCAGCUGUACCUGAAGACUAUGUCUGAUUGUCUCCUCUCCUUUAGAUUUGGCAAUUGCGAGCUGUUCUCUCACCGUCUCUUGACGCGUAUGAAGAACGUGAAGAGCCUCCUGUAAAUCAUACACACCAUCCUAAGAGAAGGUGACAAAAAGUGAAAGAAAUAGAUGAGCUCAUGCUAAACUUUCAAUAGGAUUAGCUGAGACAGAAUUGAGAGUGUUUUAUAUCUACAUGAUGGCUUCAUUUAUUUGCAUCUCUGGUCGUUGUCACCUUUGAACGAAUUUACACCCCGUGUCGCCCCUUGACAACCUCCGCAUUUUCCACUUAGGUCAUCACAUGUGUGUAUGUGUGUGUGUGAGCUUGUGUGUCCACGUUUGACGUUAGACUCAGGCAGAGACAGGCGCAGCCAUGCGUGGGUUAUUCAGUAAGAACCCACAGGAUGAUGUCAAUUAUGUCUUUCAGUCCACUGUGUACUUCUCCGCCUGUGCGGAUGAAUAAUUGUGCGUUUGUGUACUAAGCUUUUCCUUAUCCAGAGAACCCCACAAAAACAACUUCCGUUAAAAACAAGCUUUUUAAAGCCAGCUAAAACUGAUCACAGUGUUUUAAUUUGACGUCUUAAAAGAGCUUUGUUUGCAAUGGUUUUGUUGACUUAGAGGCCCCACGGAGCUACGAAAACAACGAUAUCAUUUACUUUUAGAUGUUCACCCAGAGGCGCAGACCGUCGCUCAUGUGAAAAGCUGUGUGAACGCGACAUUUUAGAGUGAAUCAUGACAGUAAUUAUUCUCCUGAGAUUAUUAACAGAGAGAGUGCACACACAAACACAGCGCUAAUUCAGACACAGUGGGAAGGCGGCUGGCAAUAAAUAUCAUGACAGGAAUGCAAAACUAAUAAAGAAGUCCCGAGAAACCACCUGGAGCUCGAAAUGAUUGCAAAGCUGAGGCAUCUCAUGCAAAUAAAGCAAUUUAUCGCA